UCCCUGGUGGUCCAGUGGUUAAGACACUGCCUUCCAAGGCAGGGGGUGCAGGUUCGCCCCCUGGUCUGGGAG
rnacentral:tRNA from 1 species